rnacentral:rRNA from 1 species
UACAGAGGGGGCAAGCGUUGUUCGGAAUUACUGGGCGUAAAGGGCGCGUAGGCGGCCUUCUAAGUCGAACGUGAAAUCCCCGGGCUCAACCCGGGAACUGCGUCCGAUACUGGAAGGCUUGAAUCCGGGAGAGGGAUGCGGAAUUCCAGGUGUAGCGGUGAAAUGCGUAGAUAUCAGGAGGAACACCGGUGGCGAAGGCGGAUCUCUGGGCCUUACCUGACGCUCAGGCGCGAAAGCUAGGGGAGCGAACUGG